rnacentral:lncRNA from 1 species
UCAAGAGGGUGGAUUGAUUUGUAUGAUUGGAGGACUGUAGUGCUUUAUAACCUGACAUACAGUGAAUUUCCUGGCUUUAAAAAUGUUUAGGUUGGAAUACUAUGCAGCCAUAAAAAAUGAUGAGUUUGUGUCCUUUGUAGGGACAUGGAUGAACCUGGAAACCAUCAUUCUCAGCAAACUGACACAAGAACAGAAAAUCAAACACCGCAUGUUCUCACUCAUAGAACAAAAAAAGAAAAGAAAGAAGAAAAACAGCAGCCUAUUAAGUCUCUUAUCCGUUCUUUAAUUAUUUCUUUAGCCAAUCAAUUUACCCUCUUGGCAUCUUUAAAUUCUUUUCUUCAGCUAUUAACUUAUUAUAGCCAGUCUUUAAGUAACUAGAAGAUACAAAGAAAAAUAUCCCAGGAACGGUGUAGAGAAGCUGAGAAUACUUAUAUGAACAUAAAUUUUACUCCGGUGACACUUUGGUACAGUACAAUACUAAAUAAAGAAAUACACACAUAGUCUUUGUCAUUCAAUCCCCUAUUAUAUAUUUAGAAACUUGUGUGAAUCUUGCUUGGAGUCCAGGUCCAUAAAUCCUCCAUAAAGACAAAGCAGGGAGGACAACUUUUCCCCUUUUUCUUGGUGUCUAAAAUGAAGAAGUAAAGACAUCAACUCAACAACAACAACAAAAAUCAGAGAUCUGCCAUUGAAUGUACAAGGUUAUCAUUCUGAUUAAACUGUUCCUGAGGUGUAAUCUUGGCUUUGUGUCCUCUCUUAUUUCAUGUCAAUUAUUUAAGAUUGAUUUUCCAGUUUUUCAUAGUGAUCUGACAUUAUGCCAGUAAUUAACUUUUGCUUAAAUUAGCCAGAAUUAUUUUAUUUAGUUCAUAACAAGAAUUCUGAUUCUGCCUAAUAUAAAAACUAGUACCAGGAGUGGGGUUAUAAGCAAUAUCCCUCAGAGUGACAGUGAAGGUGGAGGUGGUGGGGUUUGAGAUUUUGGGGGGUUGAGGGAGCUUCAGUGAGGCUAAAGAACCACAAAAGUAUUCUUAGUUAUGGA